ACAUUACUAAUAAAGUGGGAGACAUACACUUUAUUUUCCAAAAUGACAUUGAGGGAGUGGAGCAGCGGCUGCUCCAAGUGCAGGAUCUCCUCCCCUGCACCCUGCCUCACCCCACUGCCCAGUGAUGCCCUUAGGGGCUAGGCCAGGUUAGCUGGGCCCCAGGGCCGUGUGGUUCUGGCCUUCUCCACCCCAAACCACAGGGCUCUCAGCAAGGGAGUAGCAACAAAGCAGCUGUGCCUAUUCCAGGCUGGAAAUGGUACCUCCAGGUCAGCAGUGCCCCACAGGUGGACAGCACCCCCUCUAGAGGCCCAGCCUCCCCAGGGCACUCAGAGAGUUAAUCCGGUCCCUGAGGAAUUCCCAGAAAGGACUCAAUGUGGGAAUUUCCCAGACAGGCAGGCAGACAGACAGACACCUCAGACAGCUCCCGCCACUGAGCACAGAUGUUUGCCUGAGGGUGGCGGUGCUGAGAGCCAACACAGGCGCACGACUUUGUGAUGAGAGGGAGCCCAAAGCAAGAACCAAGACAAGACCCGCCAGGGCAGGCUAGGUGCUGGGGUGGGGGAAGGGAUAGGGCUGAGUUGGUCUGCGGGUCUGAGUCUCAGAGUAGUGGUCCCUUCGGAGGUCUCUCUGUUUGGAUGGCAGAGUGCCUGCAACGCUCCUCCUGGUCCACCAGGCGUCGCAGUGGCCCCCGUAGCGUCCGGACGGCAAGAUCGAGCUGUGGGUCUGCAGCGCAAGCUCUUCCCCUGAGCAAAUGUGUUGUAUAAAUGGUGUCUUAUCUACUUCCCCUACUGGUCUGAGGACUAACCAAGGGCAGAGGUUUUAUCCUAGACGCACUCUUACCCUCGGUGCCCAUCACAACAGCUGGCAUCUAGAGGUGCCCCAUUAGGUCUGACGAACGACCUCCAAACGCACAAAUACAGGAACAGGAGAAGCGUGAUGAGCUCCAAGCCUCGAGAGGGAAUGUUGGGGACAGCGCCAAGCCAGAGAAAGGGCUCCGCGUCCUGUUCGUGCCCAGAAUUUCCCCCCACCUCUUCUCCACCCGUUUUGCUCCAGCCCUAGACACAGGCGGGGCGGGAACGGACGUGGCCCCGCCGGGCUGGGCCGAGCGAGCCCGAACCUGCCCGGCCCAGCGGCGCAGCCCAGGGACCCCACACGUUCCCGCCCAGCAAUCCCAGCGGUCAGAGAAACCCGGUGCUGUGCCAGGCGCUGGCAAUACAGUAGUGAACAAGCAAAAAUCCCUGCCCUCGUGGAACUUCGGUCUAUGGGACAAGAGCAGGGGCGGGGUAAUCCCACCGGGGACACGUGGGAGGCUGACACCCAGAUCCGCACGCAGCGCCGCCGGGGAGGUCCGGCCCCCGCGUGCUCCAAGACCCACAUGUGGAGUCCGCUCCCUUCUCCCGCACGCGA